UAGAGGAGCGCGUUAGUCCAAUCAGCGUCAGGAGCGGAAGUAUGAUGGCGGCGGAGGGAGACAGACGUGACGCGUGCGCUGCUGGAAGUAAACAGGAGCAGCGCAGCAGCCACGGAAGACACCGGGAUGUGUUCAGAGACUGCGUUGGCUCUAUAAUCCAGUCCCUCGCUGAGUUUGGCGCAAAGUUAAAAGUGGGUGAUAAUGAGUUGAGCAUCAGUGCCAGUGUCAACCAUCUAAACUUCUCUGAACUUCAGCCAUCUCAAGUUAAUACCUAUUUACAACAGCACAUCUCCAAACUACAGUUAGUCUCUGAAAAUCUGAAGCAAAUGGUGGAGUCUGAAGUCCACUCCAUCCCAGGCAGCAGUGACAGGAAAGAAACAGCAGAUACAUCUGAGCAUCCUACAUCUGACCACGGCACAGUUCAUAACAAGCCUCAAAUCGAUGAUAAUGUGCAGAUAAAGGCUGCUAAAUCUGAGAUUGAACGUAGGAUAUCUGCAUUUAUAGAGCACAAACAGCUGGAGAUCAAUGAAAACAAUGUGAGGGAGUUUUGCAACAUGAUCGACUGCAAUCAGGAGGACAGCUGUGCAAGAACUGAUGCAGUAUAUACACCAUAUCCUGGUUUCAAGAGUCAUGUCAAAGUGAAGCGUGUUAUGAAUUCGUAUGGACCUCAAACCAGAGGGACACACACUGAACUUGCAGACCAGCAGCAGGGAUCCAUGAACAGAGACUGUGGAAACCCUGCCGUGGAGGAGAGGCUCCAAAACAUGGAAUCUCACCUUAAACUUCUACCAGCAGGUCCAGUUCCUCAAAGCAUUUAUCAGCGGCUACAGAAACUUGAAGAUCGAAUUCUGGAGCUUGAGGGUCUUUCCCCAGAGUACUUCCACUCCACGCUCACACGUCCGUGUCAUGCUGAAGACUUCUCACUUAUGCGUUUCCUCCUGCGCUCACGACAGUCGGCCGGAGAGUUCUUCAAAACCAUUAAAAGCUGAUAUGAGUGAUAUUUUUUCCCUCACUUCAGAAUUUGUUAUCCCUGUCAGAUUGUAGCCCAUCAAAGUUAGCUGAGUAAGUGCUCUUGAACCGUUUCUACGCCUCCUCACACCAGCUUCACUUAGUUCAGUGCUGAGCUGAAAGCUAGCUGAUUUCCAUGUCCUUUACACUGUGUGUGUGUGUUGCCUUUAAAGUGGAACAUUGAGUGCGGUCAAAUAUGCUGAUCUUCUUGGUUUGUGGUGCAGCUUUCAGUAAGUCAAAUGAAUUAAUUGAACUCGGCUGACCAGGGUGAGCAGAUAUCAUGCAUCUGCCAAGUGGGCAAUAUGCACACUGAAAAGUGAUUAAAAUGAAGGCAAAUUAUGGGUAAUAGAUAAAAAGAGAUAGACAGAAUAAAUGAAAGGACCGUUGGGUGACAGAAAGAAUCCCGAUGGCCCCACUUAAUACUGUUAAUCAGUGUAAGUCUACGGCGGCUCGCUGUGUUGGCAGUGAUUGAGUGAUGCUGAAGGACAUCUCUGUCUCUGUUUCAUACACUAAUCAUGUGCCGCUUCGGUCCACUUACAGUUGUCCUUGGUUCAAUUUAUUGUUUUGGCUGCCAUUACGCCACCCCCCCCCCACACCUUUUUUUUUUCCUGGGAAAAACAACCAUGUAAGAGAUUUUUGUUUAGUCUGAUAUUGAGAUGAAUGCUUUGCCAUUUCAUUGAACGACCACGGUUGUGCAUUGUUCAUAUAAAUCAGCAUUCAUUUCAUGCUUUUAUUUCUUUUAACCUCAGAAUUACUCGCACAAACGACCUAAAGCUUCAGUGUCACAGAGCUACAGUCUCGCUGAGCUGGAUGGGAAGAUCAGUGCCGUCAAAGCCGCCUUGAUGAAGAAAUCCAGCGAGGUCCAACCCACAGACGCAGAGUUUUCAUACUGACACGUG